AUGAUCAGUCCGUGUGUUCCCCUCAUGUCUGCAGUCAGAGAGCAGCGUGUGUGUGUGUGUCUGCAGUCAGUGUGUGUGUGUGUGUGUCUGCAGUCAGUGUGUGUGUGUGUCUGCAGUCAGUGUGUGUGUCUGCAGUCAGAGUGUGUGUGUGUGUGUGUCUGCAGUCAGUGUGUGUGUGUCUGCAGUCAGAGAGCAGCGUGUGUGUGUGUGUCUGCAGUCAGUGUGUGUGUGUGUGUGUGUGUCUGCAGUCAGUGUGUGUGUGUCUGCAGUCAGAGAGCAGCGUGUGUGUGUGUGUCUGCAGUCAGUGUGUGUGUGUGUGUGUGUGUCUGCAGUCAGAGUGUGUGUGUGUCUGCGGUCAGAGUGUGUGUGUCUGCGGUCAGUGUGUGUGUGUGUGUGUGUGUCUUGAGUUACUUGGGGGUCUGGAGGGUUAACUGAUCUUGAGCUCAGGUCUGGACCAGUCUUAGUACCGGGUCCUGAAGUGUUUGGACUUUCCUGCAGUCAGACACGUGACAGACUGUGACUCCCAGCCCGGCUGAUCAGCAGACAGGAAGUGUCUCUGAGUCUACAACUGAUUUUGAAUUUCAUUAAAAUGCGACGUUCAUAAUAAAUAAAUACUAAUUUUCUAUUCGGUGGGUGCA
rnacentral:lncRNA from 1 species